rnacentral:rRNA from 1 species
UGGGGAAUAUUGGACAAUGGGGGCAACCCUGAUCCAGCCAUGCCGCGUGUGUGAAGAAGGCCUUUUGGUUGUAAAGCACUUUAAGCAGUGAAGAAGACUCCAUGGUUAAUACCCAUGGACGAUGACAUUAGCUGCAGAAUAAGCACCGGCUAACUCUGUGCCAGCAGCCGCGGUAAUACAGAGGGUGCAAGCGUUAAUCGGAAUUACUGGGCGUAAAGCGAGCGUAGGUGGCUUGAUAAGUCAGAUGUGAAAGCCCCGGGCUUAACCUGGGAACGGCAUCUGAUACUGUUAGGCUAGAGUAGGUGAGAGGAAGGUAGAAUUCCAGGUGUAGCGGUGAAAUGCGUAGAGAUCUGGAGGAAUACCGAUGGCGAAGGCAGCCUUCUGGCAUCAUACUGACACUAAGGUUCGAAAGCGUGGGUAGCAAACA